UACGGGGGGGGCAAGCGUUGUUCGGAAUUACUGGGCGUAAAGGGCUCGUAGGCGGCCAACUCAGUCGGACGUGAAAUCCCUCGGCUUAACCGGGGAACUGCGUCCGAUACUGGAUGGCUUGAGUGUGGGAGAGGGAUGCGGAAUUCCAGGUGUAGCGGUGAAAUGCGUAGAUAUCUGGAGGAACACCGGUGGCGAAGGCGGCAUCCUGGACCAAUUCUGACACUGAGGAGCGAAAGCCAGGGGAGCAAACGGG
rnacentral:rRNA from 1 species